AGUCGAUUCGAGUCUUCUUUCUGAUACAAGCAUCUUUGGUUUUUUGGGAGUGAACUUUGCAAAAGAUCAUUUUGUAAAGGGUAAGACGAUAAAUGACAGGAUUAAAGAUUUCUGGUUUAAACUAAAAGUAGUCUUAUUUUAUUAUACGAAGUUAGAAUGAGACGUUCGGUGAGUGACUUUGCGAGUGUUGUGAGUCGAGCUCUGAUUGCCGCAUCGAACCAAGCGAUUCCGAAUUGUACAUGGGCUCCGUCACUGGAGCAAACCCUCCACCGGUUGGCUUGCCGGGAAUCAUUGAGUCCAGCGCUCGUGUCCCGAGUCAUCGACCCUUUCCUCCUAAACCACCAUACCCUGGCUUUGGGCUUCUUCAACUGGGCAUCCCAGCAGCCAGGAUUCUGUCACACUUCCACCACCUACCAAGCCAUCCUCAAAUCCCUCUCCCUUUCCCGCCAAUACAAUGCCAUUGAGAAGCUGUUCAAGGAAGUCAAGGCCCACAGAAUUCACCUUUCUCCAGACGUUUAUGGUUCCAUGAUUGGUUCGUUGAUCAGUGGAAAGAAAACCCACUUGGCGUUCUUGGUGUUCACUGAGAAUACUUUGUUAACUUCCGAGAUAGGACCCAAAACUUGUAAUUCACUUCUUGCUGCUCUGUCGUCUGAUGGGAAUGUACAAGGCGCCCGCAAGGUGUUUGAUGAUAUGAUUAGUAGAGGUGUUAAAUUGACGACGCUUGGGUUUGGGGUGUUCAUAUGGAGGUUUUGCCGAAAUAAUGAAUUGAGUGAAACUUUAAGUUUGUUGGACAAGGUUAGAGAGGUUGAUUUUUCGGGAAUCAAUGGGUCAGUUAUUGCAGUUUUAGUGGUUCAUGGGUUGUGUUCGGAAGGUCGGUUGACAGAUGUGGUAUAUGCGUUGGAAGAGUUGAAGAAAAGAGGGUGUAAGCCUGAUUUUAUGGCAUAUAGAAUUGUUGCAGAAACAAUGCGCAUGAUGAGAAGGGUGGUUGAUGUGGAGAUGGUGUUAAAGAAGAAGAGAAAGCUGGGGGUAGCUCCAAGAGCUAAUGAUUAUAGGGAGUUCAUUCAUGAGUUGAUUUCUGAGAGGCUGAUAUGUGAAGCAAAAGAACUGGGUGAAGUGAUAGUGAGUGGAAAUUUUCCAAUAGAGGAUGAUGUUCUCAAUGUGUUGAUAGGAUCUGUCUCUAGUAUAGAUCCUGUUCACGCAGUGUUGUUCUUGAAGUUCAUGCUUGAGACUGAAAGAUAUCCGACACUACUUACUUUGUCCAAUUUGAGUGGGAAUCUUUGUAAGCAUGGAAAAACUGAUGAAUUAGUGGAAGUUUACCAAGUUUUGUCCGUCAAAGACUACUUCAAGGACUUGGAGAGUUACAAUAUGAUGGUUUCAUUCUUGUGCAAGGCUGGGAGAGUGAAAGAAACUUAUCAGGUUCUUCAGGAAAUGAAGAAGAAAGGGUUGAGUCCAGAUGUUUCUUCUUACAACUAUCUUCUGGAAGCUUGCUGCAGGGAAGAUUUAGUGCGGCCAGCUAAACGGCUAUGGGAUGAGAUGUUUUCAAAUGGUUGUUCUGGAAAUCUGAAGAGCUACAACAUACUGAUCCAAAGAUUAUCAGAAAUAGGUCAGGUUGAAGAUGCUCACCGCCUGUUUUGCCACAUGAUGGAGAAAGGGUUGAGACCUGAUGCAACUACAUAUAUAUCUCUCCUUGAAGGCUUCUGCCAGGCCAAAAAUCUUGAAAUGGCUCUCAAGGUCUUCAACCAAUCUGUCGAACAUGAUCUAAUGCUUGCGAACAACAUAUUGAGCACAUUUACUCUGUGCCUUUGUAAAGAAGGGUUUUUUCUUGCUGCUUCUAAGUUACUGCGUGAUCGAAUCUCUGAUAUAGGAUAUACAGAGUCUCAUAUGACUUUGCUGAAAUAUUUAGCUGAUGCUGGAGAGCUUUCAUUAGUUAUUGAACACAUAAAAUGGGUUAGAGAGAAAUCGCAUACACUUUUGCAUUGUAUUCUAACUGAAGUAUCAGUGGCACUUUCAUCUUCAUCAAAAUCGGAUGCAAUGCUGCAGCUGUUUCAGAUACUGGUGGAAAAUGACAAAAUUCCUGAAAAUCUGCUUAGCAGAUGAUUUCACCCUUGUUAAGCUUGUAUCGUUGAUAUAUUCAGAAUGCUCUGAUUAGUUGAAGAAAUGCUUUUCUUUCUUCAUAUGCUGCAGAAAUUAGUAAAUGGAUUCACAACAGGAUGUGUCCAGCCGAGAUUUUGAUCGUCCUCAAUUUAACCAACUCAGGGUAAGAAAAAGGACCUGUCAUCUCUGCUCACACCUUUCUGGAUUCGUUAUCCUUAUAGACUUUGAAGUGCAUUGUCUUCCCUUUGGUGGUAUUGUUUUGAAACCCCAUCCCUUCAAAUAUUUAUUCAAGCAAAUAAAUUUUGCUUGAGGGUCCUAAAUAUUUAUUUCCCAAAUAUGGUAUCAAUUUCUAUGAUAAAUUUUGAUGGUGUUAAGAGUUGCCUUGUGUUCUGUAGGUUGCUUUAUCACCUCAAACCCUUUGUUUAUCAUAGGGCCGUUGUUGUUACGAAUUUUAUGGGAGAAAGUAAAAGUGAGGAACAAUAAUAUAUUUUACUUAUUUA